rnacentral:rRNA from 1 species
GAUGAACGCUGGCGGCGUGCCUAAUACAUGCAAGUCGAGCGAACAGACGAGGAGCUUGCUCCUCUGACGUUAGCGGCGGACGGGUGAGUAACGCGUGGAUAACCUACCUAUAAGACUGGGAUAACUUCGGGAAACCGGAGCUAAUACCGGAUAAUAUAUUGAACCGCAUGGUUCAAUAGUGAAAGACGGUUUUGCUGUCACUUAUAGAUGGAUCCGCGCCGCAUUAGCUAGUUGGUAUGGUAACGGCUUACCAAGGCAACGAUGCGUAGCCGACCUGAGAGGGUGAUCGGCCACACUGGAACUGAGACACGGUCCAGACUCCUACGGGAGGCAGCAGUAGGGAAUCUUCCGCAAUGGGCGAAAGCCUGACGGAGCAACGCCGCGUGAGUGAUGAAGGUCUUCGGAUCGUAAAACUCUGUUAUUAGGGAAGAACAAAUGUGUAAGUAACUAUGCACGUCUUGACGGUACCUAAUCAGAAAGCCACGGCUAACUACGUG